CCUACGCCUAGAGGUACUGCAGGUGUGGCUGCUGUGUCACCUGUGUGUCAGUAGGUGGCAGAGAGGAGAGAGUGUUCUUUGUCUAUGCUCAGUGUUCUGACCUGGGAACUCAGCCUAACAUUCCCUGAAAAA